rnacentral:rRNA from 1 species
UACGUAGGGGGCAAGCGUUGUCCGGAAUUAUUGGGCGUAAAGGGCUCGUAGGCGGUUUGUCGCGUCGGGGAGUGAAAACCCAGGGCUUAACCCUGGGCUGGCUUCCGAUACGGGCAGACUAGAGGUAUGCAGGGGAGAACGGAAUUCCUGGUGUAGUGGUGAAAUGCGUAGAGAUCGGCAGGAACACCCAGGGGGAAACCAGCCGACUGGGCAAGUGCUGACGCUGAGGUGCGAGAGCGUGGGGAGCGAACCGG